CGUGAAAUCCCUAAUCUUCUCAUGGCCAUACCCGUUCCCUUUUUAUUCACCAAGUCCUUUCUCCUAUUACCCUUUCCCCUCUCCCUUUCUCUCUUUCCUCUUCACCUAACCCUAUCAAAGGAACCCAGCUUUCCAUCUCGCUACUGGACGACGAUGUUUUAAACUCUUUCUUCACCGUUUUCUCUACUUCCCCUUCUUCUUCUGCUCUCCAAUGGCUAUCCCCGCCGUAAACGCUUAACAAAAAACACCCUUUUGUUUAUACCCAAUGCCAGUAUAUCUACGCACGUUAUGUCUUUUUAAUUUGUAACCAAGACUAUCAAGGUCCCUGAAGGCUUCGAUUAUGAGCUUUACAAUAGGAACGACAUCAACAGGAUUUUGGGUCCUAAGGAUUCUUCUAUCUCUUUCAAGGAUUCUGCUUGUAGGUGCUUUGGGUACAUGGUUUCCAAGAAGAAAUACAUCUAUACCAUUGAUGAUGACUGCUUUGUUUCUUGUGGUUCUCCUUGUAGCAUGCUGCUCAUUUGUUGUUAUUGGUGGUUUCCUGUUCUUCAACUUUAGGUGCUAUUGGUUGGGGUUUACAAGGAGCUACGUCAGGCAUGGAGGAUGCCAAAGAGCAAAUUGUACAGGAGUCCAAAAAUUCCACGCUACCAUCUCAAGAUGAGAAAAAUCCCUUCGUCCCUGGAAGAGAGAUACCUCCUGAUGCACAAGAUCAAAUACAGAGAUUUUAUCACGUUAGCAAUCGAAUUAUUAUUUAAGCUUCCUUUAUUUGCCUUCUUUUAUCAUUUUUUUCAUGUUGUUUUUAGCUUCGAAGAUUAAUUAGUUAAGAAUUUGAAACUAUUGAGCUUCGUUAAGCUGAAAUUAGUUCAUCAGGUAGUAGUUAGUUGCUACUUUUGCUAACUCUUUUGGUAACUGUUUUUUGCUCAGUACUGAAGCAAAGAGAAGAAGUGUGUAUGGAAAAUAUUCUUAUUGCUAGCUUUUUACUUCAGCAUGAGUUGUCAGAUAAUGCCAUAGCUGGCUGCAUUGAAAAUGAAGAAGAUGUUUUGUCUUUUGGGGAUGAAGAUAUGGUUUCGGUUGAUCAGGAAAAUGAAGAAUUUCAGGACUGUGAGGUUCGUGCUGAGGGACAUGAAGGAACCCCUCAUGAAGCUCUUAUUUUGGCGCUUGGCUAUUUGGGUGUGCAGGAUCUUUUUCUUAUUGAGAAUGUUUGCACAUCUCUGCGAUCUGUAGUUCAGAAUGAUCCUCUUUUAUGGAGGGAUAUUCACAUAAAUCCGCCACUGAAUGAGAAGAUUACGGAUGAUGUUCUUUUACAAAUAAUUGGUAGAGGCCAAGGUAGCUUGCAAUGCUUGAGCCUGGUUGAUUGCCAAAGGAUUACUGAUGAAGGUCUUAACCGUGCCGUUGAAAAUAAUCCAAAGCUAAUCAAGCCAUGCUUCCAAUAAUGUGUUAGAUGGGCUGAACAUGUUUGAUGGAACUGAUGGUCAUUACUUCGACACGGGGUCAAGGGGUCACCACUCGGUGUGGGAUUCUCGCCUUUUUAAUUAUGGAAGCUGGGAAGUACUGAGGUAUCUUCUUUCAAAUGCAAGAUGGUGGCUGGAGGAGUAUAAGUUUGAUGGGUACAAAUUUGAUGGUGUGACUUUAAUGAUGUACAAGAUUUCCUUGAUUAAGUAAAUGUAUUAUUUAUUUGAUUAAGAAAAUGCAUUGUAUGUUUCAUUACCUUGCAUAUGUAUUAUUUAUUUUAGUUUUGAUUCUAAAUUUUAUUUUUA